CUAUUCGGGGGCAGAUUCUCAUUUAGUUAUGGUAGACAAACACUUAAUUGCUUAAGGUCACUCGUUAUCGCAAGUUCGACUAUAUCACUGACAUUGAAAAACAACGACUCAUAAAAUAUAUUUUGCAAAAA
rnacentral:pre_miRNA from 13 species